rnacentral:rRNA from 1 species
UGAACGCUGGCGGCGUGCCUAAUACAUGCAAGUCGAGCGAACAGACGAGGAGCUUGCUCCUCUGACGUUAGCGGCGGACGGGUGAGUAACACGUGGAUAACCUACCUAUAAGACUGGGAUAACUUCGGGAAACCGGAGCUAAUACCGGAUAAUAUAUUGAACCGCAUGGUUCAAUAGUGAAAGAAGGUUUUGCUGUCACUUAUAGAUGGAUCCGCGCCGCAUUAGCUAGUUGGUAAGGUAACGGCUUACCAAGGCAACGAUGCGUAGCCGACCUGAGAGGGUGAUCGGCCACACUGGAACUGAGACACGGUCCAGACUCCUACGGGAGGCAGCAGUAGGGAAUCUUCCGCAAUGGGCGAAAGCUUGACGGAGCAACACCGCGUGAGUGAUGAAGGUCUUCGGAUCGUAAAACUCUGUUAUUAGGGAAGAACAAAUGUGUAAGUAACUAUGCACGUCUUGACGGUACCUAAUCAGAAAGCCACGGCUAACUACGUG